GGAGAGCUAAUAAAUCGAGAGGAAGGGAGCCAAGAUUUGAUCUUCAAGUUUUCUUCAUUUUUAUAGUUCUUUCUUUCUUCGUCUAUGCUUUAGUUUAUCGAAUUCUUGUUGGUUAAUGAUGAAUACUUUUUGAUUUUAUUUAAUGAUAAUCAUGUGUGAUUUUCUGUCAAUGAAUAGCUAGACUUUUUGCUCUAGAACUUAGAUGUAGUCCUUGAUUUUUCUGUGAUCACUUGACGUAACAGAUUGGAUAUUCUUAUUGGUGUAAUUUGAUAUUUUUGGAUUUAAUUCAUGUAAUUAACUGGCCACUAAUUACAUGUUUAAGAUGUUACACGAUGGAUCGAAAGAGGAAGUUUAAUGUUAGUUGGUAAAAACAUCAAACCUUGGCAAUGUUACUUAGAAAUAAGGACAUCCUAUUGUGACCUN
rnacentral:lncRNA from 1 species